rnacentral:rRNA from 1 species
GCGGAGGAAAAGAAACCAACAGGGAUUGCCUCAGUAACGGCGAGUGAAGCGGCAACAGCUCAAAUUUGAAAUCUGGCCCUUCUAGGGUCCGAGUUGUAAUUUGUAGAAGAUGCUUUGGGGACGGCGCCGGUCUAAGUUCCUUGGAACAGGACGUCAUAGAGGGUGAGAAUCCCGUAUGCGACUGGCCGCCUGCCCCGUGUAAAGCUCUUUCGACGAGUCGAGUUGUUUGGGAAUGCAUCUCAAAAUGGGUGGUAAAUUUCAUCUAAAGCUAAAUAUUGGCCAGAGACCGAUAGCGCACAAGUAGAGUGAUCGAAAGAUGAAAAGCACUUUGGAAAGAGAGUUAAACAGUACGUGAAAUUGUUGAAAGGGAAGCGCUUGCAACCAGACUUGCACGCAGCUAAUCAUCUGGUGUUCUCACCGGUGCACUUGGCUACGUUCAGGCCAGCAUCGGUUCCGGUGGUGGGAUAAAGGCCCUGGGAAUGUAGCUUCUUUCGGGGAGUGUUAUAGCCCUCGGUGCAAUGCCGCCUACUGGGACCGAGGACCGCGCUUCGGCUAGGAUGCUGGCGUAAUGGUUGUAAGCGACCCGUCUUG